rnacentral:sRNA from 1 species
GCCCUUCGUUUUUCGAUAUGUUCUUUUGUCUUGAUCAGGUCUACAACACGGUUUUGGGACGACCUUCGUGCAGUUGUUGAGGUCUUCUCAAAAAAAGGGAAUCAGCAGGUCCUCAAAAGGUCAGCAAGGCCUAUGAUAAUAAUGUAACUGAACAUUCCCGAGCGACAAGACCUCUCCAUGACCAUCGACGCGAAAACAGGCCUUUGCGCACGGCCAGCUGGAGGCGCCACUAUUGUACCGUCCACCGCCGCUCUACUACGUACACCAUGAUACGAACAUAAGAUGUGCCUAACUGAAUGAUUACUGCAAGCAGCUCUUCUUUACCACCAUAGGGCUGUGAAACUCUACAACACAUGAUACAACUUUUCUCAUUAUGACGAAUGAUGAUAUUUCUUAGAAAACAGAGUCGCAGUUUUGCUGUCUUGCCGAUGCCCCGUUGGAGAAUAAUGAAUGUAUGACUUCAAUAUUGAUGCUCAUAAGGCUGUGGUUCGGUGAUAUUCGUGUGGUA